rnacentral:lncRNA from 1 species
UGGAGAAGACUCUAUGUUAGGGGGCAGCCCCUCUGUAUCCCAUCUGUUGCAGUAUUAUACCUGAAUUUCUUCCUAGUCCUAGAAACAGUUGGUGCCUGAUUGUCUCUGGUUUCUAAGUCCUCCUCCUUAUCCAUAAGAUAAUAAUCCUAAAACAGGGAUCUUAUCUCUUCUCUCCUUCCAGGCUCUCCUUCAUAGGCCAAAAAUCACCUCAGAGUCAUCCUCUGUUUUCAGCCUUCAGAGACCAGGGCGCAAGCAAGACUGGCACAGCAAAAGUUGGGGGCUGUGAGCAAGAGCCACUGGAAGCCAGCCUUCCAGCCUCCCAUCACAGGGAGGCCCAGUUCAUAAGCAGUAGAGGUGACUGAGAAGGAGACCUUAAAUUGCAUUGGAGAGGAGGACUCCCCACACUGCCCCCUCCUUAAAAUCCUGCAGAGGAAGGGGGAAAGAAAACCAAAGCAUUCUCCUGUCGCCGCGGCAACCAUAA